rnacentral:ncRNA from 1 species
UCAAACGCAAUGAACGGGAGUAGUACAGGGACGUUGGUCUACAGAGAGCUGUGAAUCGGUGUGACACAGUGGCAGCAACCCUCGAAUCUCACCCGGGAGCGGAAGCGGGGAACAGGUGAUAACCUGAAGUACUCACUUACGGGGAAUCCUACGUUAUAGGGAAGUUCUCGUCUUGUCAUAACCGGCCGGUAUGAAUCAGACGAAGGAUGCUAAGCGGAUGCUCAUGUCGUUUAUUCAUUGCGGCGUGAGUGUCAAGUAGAGUGGUACCACGGAGGGUAUAAUCCCGUCGUCUCUUCA